GAGGAAUGUAUAGCAAUAGCUAUUGCAUCAUAGUAGAUAUGAUGCAAGAUCGACUAUGUUGAAUAAAAUUCUAGGUAGAUGAUAAUGACAUUGUCUGCCUAUGUCUUGACCAAAUUACGUGCCAGCAGUCGCGGUAAUACGUAGAAGACUAGUGUUAUUCAUGUUUAAUCGGUUUAAAGGGUACCUAGACGGUAGAUCAAGCUUUCUAAUAAAGGAAAAGGACUAGUUUACUAGAGUUACUUAUGAGGGGGUAUUAAAGUACUGCUGGUGUAGAGAUGAAAUUCUGUCAUACCUCUUUUCAAAAGAAAAACCAUGGCACAGGUAUAGGCGAAGGCAUCCCCUUAUGUGAUAACUGACGUUGAGGGACGAAGGCUUUGUGUAGCGAACAGGAUUAGAUACCCCAGUAGUCGAAGCAGAAAAUGAUGAAUGUCAUAGAUUAGAUAUAUAAGUUUAUUCUAUAAAUGAAAGUGUAAGCAUUCCACCUCAUGAGUAAUUUGGCAACAUUGGAACUGAAAUCAUUAGACCGUUUCUGAAACCAGUAGUGAAGUAUGUUGUUUAAUUUGAUGUCCCGCAAAAAACCUUACCACAAUUUGAAUAUUUAUAU
rnacentral:rRNA from 1 species